rnacentral:rRNA from 1 species
UCUACGGGAGGCAGCAGUGGGGAAUAUUGGACAAUGGGCGCAAGCCUGAUCCAGCCAUGCCGCGUGUGUGAAGAAGGCCUUUUGGUUGUAAAGCACUUUAAGCGAGGAGGAGGCUACUUGGAUUAAUACUCUAGGAUAGUGGACGUUACUCGCAGAAUAAGCACCGGCUAACUCUGUGCCAGCAGCCGCGGUAAUA